CCUACGGGUGGCUGCAGUGGGGAAUAUUGCACAAUGGGGGAAACCCUGAUGCAGCAACGCCGCGUGAGUGAAGAAGUAUUUCGGUAUGUAAAGCUCUAUCAGCAGGGAAGAAAAAAGACGGUACCUGACUAAGACGCCCCGGCUAACUACGUGCCAGCAGCCUCGGUAAUCCGUAGGGGGCAAGCGUUAUCCGGAAUUAAUUGGUUUAAAGGGAGCGUAGAGGGCUGUGCAAAUCUGAAGUGAAAGCCCGGGGCUUAACCGCGGAACUGCUUUGGAAACUGUAUAGCUUGAGUACUGGAGAGGCAGGCGGAAUUCCUAGUGUAGCGGUGAAAUGCGUAGAUAUUAGGAAGAACACCAGUGGCGAAGGCAGCCUGCUGGACAGAAACUGACGUUGAGGCUCGAAAGCGUGGGGAGCAAACAGGAUUAGAUACCCCUGUAGUC
rnacentral:rRNA from 1 species